UACGGAAGGCAGCAGUGGGGAAUAUUGCACAAUGGGCGAAAGCCUGAUGCAGCUAUGCCGCGUGUAUGAAGAAGGCCUUAGGGUUGUAAAGUACUUUCAUCGGGGAGGAAAAAACAAAACUAAUAAUUUUAUUUCUUGACGUUACCCGAAAAAGAAGCACCGGCUAACUCCGUGCCAGCAGCCGCGGUAAUACGGAGGGUGCUAGCGUUAAUCAGAAUUACUGGGCGUAAAGAGCACGUAGGUGGUUUUUUUAAGUCAGAUGUGAAAUCCCUGGGCUUAACCUAGGAACUGCAUUUUGAAACUGAAAUACUAGAGUAUCGUAGAGGGAGGUAGAAUUCUAGGUGUAGCGGUGAAAUGCGUAGAUAUCUGGAGGAAUACCUGUGGCGAAAGCGGCCUCCUAAACGAAUACUGACACUGAGGUGCGAAAGCUGGGGAGCAAACAGGGAUUAGAUACC
rnacentral:rRNA from 1 species